GUGAAUCAUCAAAUCUUUGAACGCAUAUUGCACUCUCUGGGAUUCCGGAGAGUAUGCCUAUUUGAGGGUCACUUGAAAUAAUAUAAAUUUUUCGAGACUUUCUUGGAAUCAAAUAUGUGACGGUACAGCAUUCGUUUGGUGGUCGCCUAAAAUGCAAGACAAGUUCAUUAAUUGGGUUUCGUGAUACGUUCAGUUACCUCUUGAGUUCAAAAGGAAUCUUUGUGCGUGUUGGGA
rnacentral:misc_RNA from 1 species